UACGGGGGGGGCAAGCGUUGUUCGGAAUUACUGGGCGUAAAGGGCUCGUAGGCGGCCAACUAAGUCGGAUGUGAAAUCCCCGGGCUCAACCCGGGAACUGCGUCCGAUACUGGAAGGCUUGAAUCCGGGAGAGGGAUGCGGAAUUCCAGGUGUAGCGGUGAAAUGCGUAGAUAUCUGGAGGAACACCGGUGGCGAAGGCGGCAUCCUGGACCGGCAUUGACGCUGAUGAGCGAAAGCUAGGGGAGCAAACGGG
rnacentral:rRNA from 1 species